rnacentral:ncRNA from 1 species
CCCACUGAGUUUAAGCAUAUAAUUAAGUAGAGGAAAAAAAACUUACAAGGAUUCCCCUAGUAAUGACAAGCGAACCGGGAAGAUCCCAUCAUGAAAAUCGGGUGGUAACACCACCUGAAUUGUAGUCUAUAUAAGCAUCCUUAGCGGCGGACUGGGCCCAAGUCUCAUGGAAGGGGGUGCCUGAGAGGGUGACAACCCCAUUGGGCCAGGGACCUGCCAUACCAUGAGGCGUUGUCGGUGAGUUGAGUUAUUUGGGAAUGCAGCCCUAAUCGGGUUGUAAAUUACGUCCAAGGCUAAAUACAGGUGAGAGACCAAUAGCGAACAAGUACCGCGAGGAAAAUAUGAAAAGGGCUUUGAAAAGAGAGUUAAAGUGUUGUGGGUGGGAAAUCCCUCCUACAGACUAGCAUUAAGGGUUUUAUCAUGCAUGCAGAAAUGACCUAAAGUCUCCUACUUCUUACCAACAUCCAAAUCAUAAACCCCAUUAUUCAUAUGCAAAUACAAGGUUAAAGAGAUCAAGUUACUAUACCUUAGUUUCCAUGUUUGAUGUUGAUCCCUUUAACGCUUGGUCGGUCCUUGAAUGCAACACUCCUCCCAAUGCUGAAUUGCAUUCAUAAAAGACAAAAAAAGAACUCCACAUGCAUAUAAUCUAUAAACUAAUGGGUUAGAGAUUCUAUCAAAAUAUAA